UACAGAGGGUGCAAGCGUUAAUCGGAUUUACUGGGCGUAAAGGGCGCGUAGGUUGUUAUUUAAGUGAGAUGUGAAAUCCCCGGGCUUAACCUGGGAACUGCAUCUUAUACUGGAUAACUGGAGUGCAAUAGAGGGUAGUGGAAUUUCCGGUGUAGCGGUGAAAUGCGUAGAUAUCGGAAGGAACACCGGUGGCGAAGGCGGCCAACUGGACGAAUACUGACGCUGAGACACGAAAGCGUGGGUAGCAAACAGG
rnacentral:rRNA from 1 species